UUGUAGAAGGUAGAAUAAAAAUUACAAUAAUAAAAUUUUAAUUCUAAUAGAAUAUUAAAAAAAAUCUAAUUAAACUUUAACAAUAGUAAACAAAAUUUAAUUAAAUUCAAAAGAAACUUUAAAGAAAUUAUAAAAGAAACAAUAAGAAAUCUUAAAGAAGUUGAAAGAAAAUUCACAAGAAACCUUAAAAGAAUCCUUAAGAAGCCCUAAAAAAAAUUAAAACAAUCACAAAAAUAUCUUAAAUAAAUUUCAAUCAAGUUCUAAAUUAACCUUUGUUGAAAUUUUAAUGGACUUCAAUCAAACUUUAGAAAAGUCCUAAAUCUUAAACCAAACUUCAAAUCAAAUCUUGGAUCCUAAACCAAAUCUUAAAUCAAAUCUUAAAUAAACUCUAAAUCUUAAACCAAAUCUUAAAUCAAAUCCUAAAUCCUAAAUCAAAUCAUAGAUAAAUCCUAAACUUUAAACCAAAUCCUAGAUUAAAUCCUAGAUCCUAAAUUAAAUCCUAAAUUAAAUCCUAGAUAAAUUAAAAAUCCUAGACCAAAUCUUGAAUUGAACCGUAGACAAAUCUUAAAUCUUAAAUCAAAUUUUAGAUCAAGUUUUAGAUCCUAAAUCAAAUCCUAAAUAAAUCCUAAAUUUUAAACCAAAUCCUAAAUUAAAUCCUAAAAAAAUCCUAAAAUCUAAAUCAAACCUUAGAUCAAAUCUUAGAUCCUAAACCAAAUUCUAAUCCUAUUCAAUCUAAUCCUAGUGUGAUUUAGAACCUUAAUAUCUAUUAAUUGAUCUAUUGAUCUUGCUUAAAAAUUUAAAUAUCUUUCAACAACUAAAUUGACAAAAAGCAUACAAAAUUUGAAAAUAAUUGCAUUUAACAAAUGGAAGAAUAAUCUUAAAUUUUUCUUGGGUAUUGACU
rnacentral:lncRNA from 1 species